AAGUGUUACAGCUCUUUUAGAAUUUGUCUAGCAGGCUUUCCAGUUCGCACCAGAAAGCACCC
ensembl:snRNA U7 U7 small nuclear RNA